rnacentral:rRNA from 1 species
UACGUAGGGUGCGAGCGUUGUCCGGAAUUAUUGGGCGUAAAGGGCUCGUAGGCGGUUUGUCGCGUCGGGAGUGAAAACCUCGGGCUUAACUCGGGGCUUGCUUUCGAUACGGGCAGACUAGAGGUAUGCAGGGGAGAACGGAAUUCCUGGUGUAGCGGUGAAAUGCGUAGAUACCAGGAGGAACACCGGUGGCGAAGGCGGUUUCCUGGCCCAGUACUGACGCUGAGGCACGAAAGCGUGGGGAGCGAACGGG